rnacentral:rRNA from 1 species
AUUGAACGCUGGCGGCAUGCUUUACACAUGCAAGUCGAACGGUAACAGGCCGCAAGGUGCUGACGAGUGGCGAACGGGUGAGUAAUGCAUCGGAACGUGCCCAGUCGUGGGGGAUAACUACUCGAAAGAGUAGCUAAUACCGCAUACGAUCUAUGGAUGAAAGCGGGGGACCGUAAGGUCUCGCGCGAUUGGAGCGGCCGAUGUCAGAUUAGGUAGUUGGUGGGGUAAAGGCUCACCAAGCCAACGAUCUGUAGCUGGUCUGAGAGGACGACCAGCCACGCUGGGACUGAGACACGGCCCAGACUCCUACGGGAGGCAGCAGUGGGGAAUUUUGGACAAUGGGCGCAAGCCUGAUCCAGCAAUGCCGCGUGCAGGAAGAAGGCCUUCGGGUUGUAAACUGCUUUUGUACGGAACGAAACGGCUCUGGUUAAUACCCGGGGCUAAUGACGGUACCGUAAGAAUAAGCACCGGCUAACUACGUG